rnacentral:lncRNA from 1 species
CAAAGAAGGAGAAGCUUGACCGAAGUCAUGGGUGACGCCGAGGCGGGUCAGCUGAGGCGGGUAAGCGGCAUUUUUGGGACGACGUACCGAAGUUGUUUCAAGGAGUAUCACACUGACAAAUAAGGCGUUGUUCACAUACUGUGCACUCUAGUGAGCAGCAGCAAUAAAGAAGCCAUUUUUCUCAUUUCACAACCACUGAGCCCUGAUGACCUAAUUUGACUCCAUGUUAAUUAAUCUAUAAAUACUUGCACCACAGGCUCAAUUUUCCGUUUGUGUUCUUCUGAGGUCCUAAAUAUUAGGAAAACACGCACAAAAAAGGUCUCCGACCAAAACCAAAAAUCCAGGGCUGAAAGGGCUAGACAACAGAAAACG